rnacentral:rRNA from 1 species
GCUUACCAUGCAAGUCGAACGGUGAUGCGGAGCUUGCUCCGCUGAUCAGUGGCGAACGGGUGAGUAACACGUGAGUAACCUGCCCUUGACUCCGGGAUAAGCGUUGGAAACGACGUCUAAUACUGGAUACGACCCGUGGAGGCAUCUCCUGCGGGUGGAAAGAACUUCGGUCGAGGAUGGACUCGCGGCCUAUCAGCUUGUUGGUGAGGUAAUGGCUCACCAAGGCGACGACGGGUAGCCGGCCUGAGAGGGUGACCGGCCACACUGGGACUGAGACACGGCCCAGACUCCUACGGGAGGCAGCAGUGGGGAAUAUUGCACAAUGGGCGCAAGCCUGAUGCAGCAACGCCGCGUGAGGGACGACGGCCUUCGGGUUGUAAACCUCUUUUAGCAGGGAAGAAGCGGAAGUGACGGUACCUGCAGAAAAAGCACCGGCUAACUACGUGCCAGCAGCCGCGGUAAUACGUAGGGUGCAAGCGUUGUCCGGAAUUAUUGGGCGUAAAGAGCUCGUAGGCGGUUUGUCGCGUCUGCUGUGAAAACGCGAGGCUCAACCUCGCGCCUGCAGUGGGUACGGGCAGACUGGAGUGUGGUAGGGGAGAUUGGAAUUCCUGGUGUAGCGGUGGAAUGCGCAGAUAUCAGGAGGAACACCGAUGGCGAAGGCAGAUCUCUGGGCCAUUACUGACGCUGAGGAGCGAAAGCGUGGGGAGCGAACAGGAUUAGAUACCCUGGUAGUCCACGCCGUAAACGUUGGGAACUAGAUGUGGGGUCCAUUCCACGGAUUCCGUGUCGCAGCUAACGCAUUAAGUUC